rfam:Cricetulus griseus cell line CHO-K1, whole genome shotgun sequence.
UGGUGCCCAAUGUGUGUGGCCCGGGUAUGAGGGCUUCAGUGAGGAACGUCGCAGAGAAGGGAAAUCUCAAGAAAAGAGACAGAACAGAGGAAGUGGUUAGACUGGAGCCUGCCACCAUAAGGAGACCUGAGUAAGUGAGCGACAAUUAUGGGACACGACAUGAGCCAACAUGAGCUAUUUGUUGAAGUCCUCAAAAAGGCACUUAAGGCGUGAGGGGUUAGACACCAGAAUUGUUGAAAUUUUUUAUAUUUAUUAAGGAAGUUUGUUCUU